rnacentral:lncRNA from 1 species
CUGGCGUUACUAUCCGGGUGAUGCUGGCAGGUGGUCACUUCAGCCUUCCGGGCCUGUGAUUUUACUGUGUACCAGGCGCUGCUCAAAGUCUACUAAGGGCUCAGUGAGCUUUAGACGGACUUGGCCUCCAGCCUCCUGGGCCAGCUAACCUCCUGGGAGGCUCUGGAGGCCUCCUAGAAGCUGCGAUGCUGCAGAAGAGGGAGACAAGACCAGCUGCAUGCAGUUCACUGAGAAGUCGGAGAUGGAUGUGGGAUUCCUCGCGCUGAGCAUGGAGUGGCAAGUGACCCCAGGAGGAGAGGUGCAUCCACCAAGGUCAAGGAUGAGAGGAGCCUUCAGCAAUGGCCAAAUUCAUGGAGCCCACACCACCUCCUACAAUGGGAAAGGCAGCUUGAAAUGUCUGCUGGUUAGAGCGUUGGAAGUCAGCCAGGCCAGCGGAGCCUCUGAAAAUUUGACAAUUUAAAAUACACUUGGACCAAUAGCUGAAUGGAUGAAUGGACAAACAAAUGAACCAAUGGAUCAACAAAUGGACUGAUGAACAGAUAAAUGGAUUAGGUAUGGAUACGGACAUGUAAUGGCACCGGUAGGGAUUCAGACUGUGAGAGCUAAGUCCCUAGAGACUGGAUAUCCCCACGGAUAAAGAGGCUCUUGGAUGGGGAGUAACCUAAUACAUUAUCUACGUCCUCCAAGACAUGUCUAGCCAAGAGCAAGGCUACCUCUGCCCUGGCACCCAGUCCUCGUGAGCAACAACUUGUUCCAGCUCAACGAGGUCUCCUGAACUCUGGUAAUUAGUCAGACAUUGGUUGAACGAACCACCUUUGCCUCCUGAUGUUCUAGAACUCUGUAUUCCUGAGGGCCCCCCCUUCAAACUUCCCUCUGGGUCAGAGCUGCCACUCCCUGCUUCCAGGCAUAGAAAUAGAUUCCUAGAGCCAAGAGGCCCUAGAAAAUAUGGUGUUUACCCCUCUUCCAUUUAACAGAUGAGGAAACUGAGGCCCAAGCAAGGCCAAGGAACUUACCCAAGAAUGUACAGUAAUAGAGCUAGGAUUAGAGCUUCGGUCCCCCAAUUCAUUCAUGCAUGCAUGCAUGCAACAAAUAUGUAUCUCUAGCACCUCACAUUUGCCAGGUUCAGCGCCUUCUCCUUGGCAUACUAAGUCUGCAAAUAAACCCCGGUGCCAAUUUCCA